CCAGCCUCACGCUGCCUUUCCUGCUGCAGAGAGCACAGAGACAGUCAAAGAGACGGCUUCCGCCAAGACCAGCAAAACCACAAGCAGCAGCAGAAAGCACCCCCCUCCUCUUCCUCCCUGCGUCUCCAUGUCUCAGGAAGGGGUGGCCAUGGUCCUCCCUCCAGCCAGGCCGACCCCCACCCUGCUCCAGCCGUGCCACUCCAUUUCUGAGGAUGCUCAGAGGGUCCUCCGGAAAGUCUAACGACAUGAGAAUGUUUAACCCUCUCCUGCAACAGAUGGGUUCAUUGAGAACACACUUGGAUGGGCGUCCUGGCCCUGGUCCACGC
rnacentral:lncRNA from 1 species